rnacentral:rRNA from 1 species
UACGAAGGGUGCAAGCGUUGCUCGGAAUUACUGGGCGUAAAGCGUGCGUAGGUGGUUCGUUAAGUCUGAUGUGAAAGCCCUGGGCUCAACCUGGGAAUGGCAUUGGAAACUGGCGAUCUAGAGUGCGGUAGAGGGUAGUGGAAUUCCCGGUGUAGCAGUGAAAUGCGUAGAGAUCGGGAGGAACAUCUGUGGCGAAGGCGACUGCCUGGACCAGCACUGACACUGAGGCACGAAAGCGUGGGGAGCAAACAGG